AACCUCCGCAAUGUGAGAAAUCGCGACGGGGGGAUCCCAAGUGCCAUUCUUAACGGGAUGGCUUUUCAUUAGUGUAAAGAGCUUUUUGGAAUAAGGGCUGGGCAAGACCGGUGCCAGCCGCCGCGGUAGCACCGGCAGCUCUAGUGGUAGCAGUUUUUAUUGGGCCUAAAGCGUCCGUAGCCGGUUUAAUAAGUCUCUGGUGAAAUCCUGUAGCUUAACUGUGGGAAUUGCUGGAGAUACUAUUAGACUUGAGACCGGGAGAGGUUAGAGGUACUCCCAGGGUAGAGGUGAAAUUCUGUAAUCCUGGGAGGACCGCCUGUUGCGAAGGCGUCUAACUGGAACGGUUCUGACGGUGAGGGACGAAAGUUAGGGGCGCGAACCGGAUUAGAUACCCGGGUAGUCCUAACUGUAAACGAUGCGGACUUGGUGUUGGGGUGGCUUUGAGCUGCUCCAGUGCCGAAGGGAAGCUGUUAAGUCCGCCGCCUGGGAAGUACGGUCGCAAGACUGAAACUUAAAGGAAGU
rnacentral:rRNA from 1 species